rfam:Salmo salar isolate Sally breed double haploid chromosome ssa13, whole genome shotgun sequence.
CCCUGUGGCUCAGUUGGCAAAGCAUGGUGUUUGUAACACCAGCAUGGUGUAUGCAAUGCCAGGGCUGUGGGUUCGAUUCCCAUUUGGG